rnacentral:hammerhead_ribozyme from 1 species
AUCCAGAUGAUCAGUCGCAAAUAGGACAAAAUGCGCAUCAAACUGGAU